UGAUAAACGAUUGCAGUGAAAAUGGAGUCUUCGGCAGUGAUUAAGAAAGAGGAUGGUGUUGAAAGCGCAAAAGGGUGUCGAUGGUGUCUGUCGACUGGUGAUACUUUGGAGGCUCUAGAGAACGAUGAUUCCGGACAAUGCAACCUUCAAAGGCUCUCCGAAUGCACCGGGGCACAGAUUGAAUUCUCUCCUGGAGUUCCAUCGUAUUUGUGCACGAUGUGCGAAGCGCGUUUGAAAAAGCAGAACGAAGCGAAAAACGUAUCAGAAAUCACUCAAGACAAUCUCUACUAUUCUACCGAACAAACGGUUGACACAGAAUUGUCAAUUAAAACCGAAGUUUCCUCACCGGAUGCAGCGACGGAUUUGCACUUCAACCAGAAGAGCUUUGCUGUUCAUCAAGAAAAUAGUACAUAUGAAUGUUAUGGCAAAAUACCUGACGAUUUAUUCGAGGCAGAGGAAAAUCCAAUUGCAAUCAAAUCAGAGGACGAAGAGGUCGAUGAGCAGCAUCAGCUGCAAACAACGAAUGAUGUUCUGGAUAUUGAACAAGAUAACCAUAAAACAAAUCCUUUGUUAUCGAUCGGUCAGAAUCAAAAAGAUCAUCCUGUG